rnacentral:rRNA from 1 species
AUGGGAUGGCUUGGAGGAGGCCUGGCACUGUCUGCCGCCGGCGACGUGGCCUUCCCGGAGCUGCAGAUGGCGGCCUUGACGGAGGAGAGGAGGGAGGACGCCAUGGAGGAGGAGCCGGCGGCCGCCUUCCAGCAGCUGGUGGGCGCGGGGUGGGCCUGGUCCUGCACUGCUUCGGAGAUGGCCGCCAGCCUGGGCGUGGACUGGCGCGCCACUCCGCCGCAGUCACCGGAGCAGGAGGGGUCGCCACGGGAGGAGGUGUUGCAGGCACCUCCCGCCGUCCAGCCCGCCCCCGUCUACCAGGCACCGCACGCACCGCCGGCCCACCUGUGGACGCCGCCGGCCUACGUCGACCUCGUCAGCGACGAUGACGACACCGGCGGCCAGUGA